rnacentral:rRNA from 1 species
UACGUAGGGUGCAAGCGUUGUCCGGAAUUAUUGGGCGUAAAGGGCUCGUAGGCGGUCCGUCACGUCGGGAGUGAAAACUUGGGGCUUAACCCCAAGCCUGCUUCCGAUACGGGCGACUAGAGGUAGGCAGGGGAGAACGGAAUCCUGGUGUAGCGGUGAAAUGCGCAGAUAUCAGGAGGAACACCGGUGGCGAAGGCGGUCUCUGGCGUCACCUGACGCUGAGGAGCGAAAGCGUGGGGAGCAAACAGG